UCUCUUCAUAGGAAGAUUAAAGCGGAGUUGAAGUCCUUGAUACAAACAGUUGUGACUAGGACCAGAGGACAACAACUUGAAAUUAUAUAUCCUAAGUGUAAUAAGCAGAAUGAUUCCUGGGCAUGUGGCU